GCCCCACCCCAGGGCGCUCCUCUGCAGGGAGACGUGAAAGGGCCUGAACGCAGGCCUGGUGGCCCGUGUCGCUUUGGGUCCCAGCACUGCCACCAUCUCCACCCUCUUGCUUCCUGCCCUCUUGAUGGCCCUUGGGGUGGACGGGCUCUACUCUUAGCCUCACCCCAGCCUCUGUGUCGACACCUGGGUCUCUGCUCAGGAAGGGCCCCCUUGACAAGGGGGGUUCCAAGGGCUGAUUUGGGGUUUCACGCCCAUUCAUAUUCGGAAUGUCAAAGCUCAUCUAAAACAGCUCCAAUAGUUGGUGGCCUCAGGGGGUGACUGCAAGUCCUCUCUCUUUGCAGUCUUCCAUCCCUGGCCUGAUGUGGAAAACCUCUUAACUAAGUUCCCUCAGCUGCCUUUCCACAUAGGCCUCGGAGGCCCACGCUGGAGCUGGGGUGCCCCCUCCCCAGGCCCUUGCGGGUUUCUGAGCCUUCUUGGCAGUGGGCUGGGGCGGGGGCGGGGGGCCUGCUUCCUUACUCCUUCUGAGAGAUUUGGGCAAGCUCCUCCCACCACAUCCCUUUGCAGGACUGCGCCAGUCGGAGAGAGAAGCCUAUCAGUUCAUCCUGGAAUUUCUAGAACGUGGAGAAAUGUCCAACUUGGACAAGCUGAAGUUCCUGAGGGCGGUGGACACCCUGAGUUGUGCCGUCCAUGCCCAGGCAAGUGGCACGAUGGAUGAUUACUUUCCCAAAACCCUCCUGGCCAAGAAAAUCGAGACGUUGAUCCUUGAAGAGGCGAGUGAGCAGCUGACCAGCAACGUGCGUCAGCAAGCCAUGCUCUGCAUCGUCACCCUGAGGUUCCUCCCUGCUGCCACCUCC